ensembl:lncRNA
UGCCCCUGAAAUAGAAUAUCAGCCUGAGGUGGAUGCUCCAUUAUAGAAAAAUUCAGCACGAAUGAUUUAAAUUAAAAUUAUAACUCCAAGCAGCGCCCUACAAAGGGACUUUCAGACAGCCUUAAUAGGCAAUGAUGCUAUAGAUGGGGCUAGUGAAUCACUCCUUUUAACUGCAUAAUGCUUGCACAAUUAUAUCCAGAAACAGCAAUUAAAAUGAAAAUCAGAAAGGGUAUAAACUUCGGGCCAGAUCCUCAGCCAGAGCUAAUUGAGGCUGCACACAGAGACCAACGGACCUCAGCAGAUUUGCUCGUGUGAAUUGGUGACAUUCUGCUCCCCUCCUUGUGCACCCAUCUUUUCUUCCCUAGGGCAGCCCAAGGCGCCAUCCAUUGAACCCUACUGCUGGGGGAAAAGGCCCCUCUUCCCCACCGAGGGAAAAAAAUCUACACCUGCAUUUCAUCCCUUACCAGCAGGCAAACAGUUUGAGGGUUUCACUUAUCUAUCAAGGCGCUUCCAUUUAUUUAUUUAUUUAUUUAUUUAUUUUUGGCCUCUUUCUGAGCAGGUGUUACAUAACACCGUGUCAUCAGCAAAUUUAUAUGGCAGUCCUGGCAACUGAGAAGCCAAAUGGCUCCCAGAGUGCCUGAAGAAAAUAAUUCUUUCCGUCAGAAAUUGGGCUGUGUAAAAAUGGGCCUUCCUUCCCUUCUUCCCCCCCCCCCAACUCUUCAAAAAGGAUAACAGACAAACGGUGGGGAAAUGAAACGGAGGAAGUUUUAGAAUAUCUACAUUGAAGGGGACAUCUGGAUAUGGAGAUGCAGAUUUCAGCUCCAUCUACCCACAGACCCCAGGGAAAACCGCUGCUCAGAGCACGGGGCGAAAACAGACAGAGAAAAAACUCAACCUCAGAUUUUCCAGCCCCACUGGGUUUGCUUUCCCCAGGGGGUGAGCUGUUCAGCUCAACUGACGCAGAUGGCUUUCAGGAAGAGGAAUGCUCUGGUUUGGAUGAGGGCCACAUCUUCCGGAUGUCUUCUCCUGUCCACACCAUCAGCAUUUCAGGGUGCACUUCCACGGCCAACCUCAGCACCAGAGGUGUGUGUGUCCUCGAUCCAGGGAACCUGCAGCCACCCAAGGGCUGAGAUGGCAUCUCCACCAUCCUGAAGGCACCCAUAAAGGCGAUGCAACAGAGUGGGGAGUGCUGUCAGGUGGUGUUGCUCCAGGCUCUGCUCUACAGUGUGGUUGGCAACCACUGAGCAUCACCUCCUCCCUGUCCUCAUAGCACAGAACAUUCUCAUAAAAUACAAUGCUUGGCUCUCUCGCUGACUUUCUUAAUGCCCUCUACAAAGGGCAUUUAUUGAAAUAUUUAACCCUGCUGCAAAUUCACACCAGGAGAGAAAUGAUGAAAAUUAGCCUCUUCUUGCCUUUUUGAGGCAGAAAGCAGCAAAAACUUGAUUUUCUUUAAAUGCCAGAAAAACUCAGCAGUAACGAGGGAGGCACCCCCCUCCUCCCUAAAUAUAGUAGGAUCAAAUUAAAAGUCAAGAUCUUUGCUGCUGUUAUAAAUAGCUAAUGAAGUGACAGCGUUUGCAGCGCGCUGCCAGCCCCUGCCAAGCCGCAGCUCAUCAGGAAGUUUCAAAGUGACAUGCACCAUGGCAGCAACCAACUUUUGUAAGCACAGUCUGGGGAGAAAACAGCGAUUAUGCAAGAAAACAUGGCAAAAACAACCAUCUGCUUCCUUUUCCCCAUUCGUUUGCCCGUUGGGUUUUUCGAGUCUGUAGGGCUCAAGUUUGUCACUUUUUCUCCAAAAGAAAUAAAUGGCUUUUUAAAAUUAUUAUUAUUAUUUUUUUUUUUCCAGUGAAGCCUGAGAUUAUCACAUAAUCACCUGCUGCCCAAAGGAGGCAAUGGCAUGGCCAGGAAACCCAGCAGUGCUGGGGAACGAGGUGUCUCUGGACACGCAGAGCGCCGACCUUUCGCUUUCCAGCAGUGUGUGAGAACCAAUGAACCUUUCCCUUCUCUCCCAAGGCUUGCAAUAGCCUCGUAUUUAAUGUAGCGGAUCCAGAGAAAUAAAAAAAGCCUCUGAAAAAAAAAAAAAAAGAAGGGAAAAAAAAAAAAAGAAGUGUUUUCCGUUUGUGUGCCAAAACAUAUGUGCUUCGUUAUAUCUCUGGCUCGCGCAUCUCCCAUGUGCUGUGAGAGGGGAAGCGAAGUGCAGUGAUUUCACUGCUGCUCCUUGGUCAUGCUCCUGUUCACAUUGUCUCCCAACAGAUAAUGCUGGCUUGGAAAACAUCGUCUGUGUCUGAAAGCCACAUGGUGAGAAGAGGGGGAAAAUCCCCUGCCUUGCUGUUUGCAGGUAGUAAAUCCUCACUGCUGGGCAAUGCCGGCAUUCCUGGGUGCUGUCUGUCUUCAGGGCAGGGUUUUUCCCUUUCGUCCCAGAGGUGCUGGGAGCAGCGAGCAGUGGGGCUCCCCUUCAUCAGGCACAGCUGCAGGGAGAUUCCUCGGCUUCAUUUUCCUAUAACUCAUAUUUAAAGGCCAACAUACACCCUGUACACGUACGUACACAGACUCAGAGCAAAUAGGAGAGUGGAAGAAGAGGCUGUGUUAAGAAACACGAAGCUUAGGGCAGAUUUUUAGAGGAUUCCCCAUUAAACAGAGUUUGAAGAUCCCACAGAUAAUUUUUACCUAUCACCUUCCCCAGGCUUUAAGCCUAUCCCAAGGGAGGGGAUGGCACAGGACAUCAACGCCAGUCCCUUUUGUAUCUGUUGGUCAGCAGAGCAGGGACUCACAUAUGACCAAGUGGUGUGUUGACCUUGGCCAUGCUGGUGGGCGUAUUCACGGCUGCAGAUGGAAAUGUGAGGCAUUGUGGAUGUCGAUAAUAACACCAGAAGGCCGAAUUAGAUGCAGUUUAGUCUACAAUCAGCUGAAACUCUUUGGGUGGUGAUGGUAACCUCUGAGCCAGGGAUGGUGGGGAAUUGUAGGUGGGGACUUGUAGAUGAGCUGCUCCCAGUUCUACCCAGUGCAGAGCCCUAAGCCUAUCAGCAGUCACUGAAAAGCAGAUGCAUCAGUCAAGAUGUCAAAAUGAAGAUGAAACCUCACAUUUGCUGCUGCUGUCAAUGAAGCACAUGGACAUCACUAGAGGCAAUGUCCUUGAGCUGCUCCAUUCAGGAGAAAAUUCUUCUCUGAAAGAGUGGUGAUGCUCUGGCACAGGCUGUCCGUGGAGGUGGUGGAGUCACCAUCCAUGGAGGUGUUCCAGAUCUGUGGAGAUGUGGCACUGAGGGAUGUGGUCAGUGGGCAUGGUGGUGAUGGGCUGACUGUUGGACACGAUCUCAGUGUGCCCUGGGAUAGUGUUUCUCUGCUCAUGAAGCCAACGUGAUGUGUUUGCAGAAGAAACCAGGUGAUGGAGCACCUGGGUCAACUGCUGCAUGCUGGGAGGCACUCACAGUCAUAAAGAAGUUGCAAUCAGUCUCAUCAUGAGACGUUCAUCCAGUGAUGGGCUGUGAACCAUCUCCUUGUUUGAUCUGCAGGGUGACCUCAUGCUGUAAGUGGUCUCCAGUGGGACCCCAGAAGGCUGAGGUAUGUUUUGGAGGUGAGACUGGAGCAUUACCCACACCAUCCCUUAUAUUGCUCGUGGAACUUCUUAUGCCUGCUGCUGUAGGAUGUCUACAGCCAUGGGUUAAGGGCAUUGGGCAGAACAUAGCAAGUGCAAUUCAUACAGUGAGGAGAAGGGAGCCUGUUUUUUGUGCAUCACAGCCCCAAGGGUGCUGGGUGGAGAUGAGAACAUCUCAGCAUCAAACCUUCUGUCCAGCUGUUUGUGUCUCUUUAUGCAAGCAAUGCAAAUGAGGUUGGGAGGCUACUCCAGUUAUUCUCCCCAUAAUUAAAAUGUAGAAUUUACUUCUUCUUCCACUGGCCUCUUGCAGGGAAUUAAACACGAGAUUAAUGAGGUGUCUAAUGAUUUGUGUGGCCCCGCUCAGAAAUAAAGCAACUGUUUGCUCCUUGUGCUAUUGGAUGUGUGAGAGCAGCCAGUUUCUCUCCAGAUGAUGUGCACUGCUACCAGUGACAAGUGCAGAUGGAUGUUUAUGCUGCUUGCCAAGCUGUUGAGAAAAGCACUGACGCAGAUCUGAAAGAAAUGCACUCAAGCUUGCUGCUUUGCAUCGGGGCUUUGAGAACAACACAGGGAAGGAGCAGCACCCGGGGUUCAGCUGUGGUUAGGGCUGCUGAAGGUCACUCUCAUGGCGAGGCCACUUACAUCCAGCUGAAGUGACAGCUCCUGGAUGGAGGAGGCCCAAAGCUGCUGGUGGCCAGCACAGCUUGUCAUCCACAACCACAGGUCCAUGGGUGGCCAUGACAAGUACAAUAACCCCGUGUGGAUCUGUCUGCAGUUCAGACAAGCAAUAAAAGUGUCCUUUCUAUAACCAUGGCAUGUGCCAGAAAUGGAGGUGUUAUCUCUCACUCAUUCUCCUUUUUCUUUUUUCUUUUUUCUUUUUUUUCUUUUUUUCUCUAGGACCACCCAGUCAACGCAUCAGCUUCCAAAACUCUUGGUGUCUGCAUGAAAACCACACGGGCUGUGCGCUCCUGCUGAAGACACCCUGGCUGCUCUCUGCUGUGACCAGGACUGGGAGAAGCAAGGCAAUGCCCACUGCAGCCAGCAUUCUCAUUGAGCACAUUCUGCUUCUCCUAUUUCCACAUUUUUUUCCAACACUUUUCUGGAUGGUAUUCUGCAGCCUGCACAUCUUGUUCCCUAUACAACCACUCUGAGUAGGAAUUCAGGGGUCCUGGCAUCAACACUGGGUUCAUUACCCAGCCUCAUGGGUAGGAACCACAGGCUGCAAGGCUUCCCUUCUAGAGCACAGGAGAAACUCCAGGAGUUUGCAUAAGCCAAUGGCACUGACCAUGUCCUGGAUGCACACCAGCCUGUCUGGAGCCCCCCAGACCACUGAUACCAAACCUCCUCCAUAGCCAUACCUGUGUCUUCCUUACUCUACCAUCAGGAUAAUAUUCCCAAAUCACCCUUCCCCAGCACCAAGCAGCCCCAGGCUGUUUGCCCUGCUCCCAGCAUCACACAUUAUUCCAAAAUUACAGCACCAUUCCCUUCUUUUUGCAGUCUCUUUGCAAUCUCUUGCAUAGCCGUUCUCGUGUCUUCCCUCCUUUUAGACUAAACAAGUGCAGUUGUCUGUGGGUCAUGUUUCCAGGACUGCAGAUCAUGACCACUGAAUGCCUCCAGAUGCUCCUUGAGCAUCGCUCUUUUAAAGGUUGUGCCCAACUUGGAUGAGUUUCUCCAACUCUGGCCUUCCCAGCGGCAGGCAGAGCACAAGGAUUAUUUCACAUUUCUUAUAGACGGCAUUCGGAUUUAUAUAUCCCAGGGGAUGAGAGAGGGGAGAAAGCUAACCUCUGCUUAGCAUCUACACUGAUCACACUCUUACAAAUUUGCUUCCCACUCAGCCUUCCACUGCCACAGAAUCAUAGAAUCAGAAUCAUAGAAUGGCCUGAGUUGAAAAGGCCCGCAAUGCUCAUCCAGUUCCAACCCCCUGCUAUGUGCAGGGUCGCCAACCAGCAGCCCAGGCUGCCCAGAGCCACAUCCAGCCUGGCCUUGAAUGCCUCCAGGGAUGGGGCAUCCACAGCCUCCUUGGGCAACCUGUUCAGUGCGUCACCACCCUCUGAGUGAAAAACUUCCUCCUAAUAUCCAACCUAAUCCUCCCCUGUCUCAGUUUUAAACCAUUCCCCUCUCUAAGAUUCACAAAUCAUGGUGCUUCAGGAUCCUCUGGGUUGACCCAUUCCAGCAUUCCCCACACCUGGAAAGGCCAAAAGCCCCAUGAACUACCCCAGCACAUGGUGUUGAGAGGUUACAAAUGGACAGAAGAUAGUCAUAGUCAGAAAAAAAUCCAGCUCUCAUCUCCAGGGAGAGGGUCAGGAGAAACUUAAUGCUUUUCUCAUAGAAAAUCAAAAUUCUGAGCAUUUCAGGCUGAAAACCAACAGUUUUUUAUUUUGUUUUGUUUUUAUUCCAGAAAUACUCUGCAGUGUCUCGUGCAUCUUUCUGGACCUCGGUCUUGGUUCUCUGGCCAAAUCCCAUCCCUCAGGACGCUCCAUUGCCUGACCUCUGUGUUCCACCAUGGAGGAUUCUCCAUCUACACUGAGCCAUCAGAGAUGUCACUCUUUGGCAAAAAUCACCAUUUUUAGACAGACAAAUUUAGACUUGUGCAAUCCAAAGAAAACCCCGCUGCGUCCCGAAGGUGCCAAUAAACCCAACGCAGAAGACAUUGUCUCAGCAACAAAUCACUGAGGACUUUGCAGAGGGAAGGAUGUGGAGAUCUUGACUUUCAACAUCCCCACCCAGACCCAUGCCCAAGGCAAAGCAGCGUGGGCUGAACAAGCUGCUGCUUGGUCCCGGGAUGGGGAGCUUCAAAGGAUGCAAGGACUGGGGGGCUCAAAUCCGCCACUUGUCCAAAGAGCUCUGGGGAAAUUGAGCAGGGCAGGAUUGGGCAGAGCUGAGUUGGAAGCACGCCCUGACACUAACCAGCAUCCUGUCCUGUCCCACCUCCCAAAAUGCAACCAAAUGGGACACAGCUCCAUCCAAGUGCUCAUGCUGCAAAUCCACCAGACGCUGUAUUUCCUAACUGAGGGGCUUUUUCAGCCCUUACAGUAAGUCAUAAAACUUCAGGAGGAUUUUCUUGUGGUUAAACACUGAGGCCUGUUUUGGCCAAGCAAAGUGGGCUCUGCUCUGUCCUCCAGAUGGAGUGAAGCUGGAUUUAUUGUUAUUUAUGUUUCAGUAUAAGCAUUACUCAGAAGGUAGCAUUAGUCAUAAAGCUGGCUCCCUGCGCGGCUACCCUUGUUUUCCUUGUGUUUCUCUUCCUGCCUUUAGCUGAAUUCCCUUUGACAUCAGCCAUCAAACAUUAAACUGCACAUAGAUCACACAUUGUCAGGGGCUGGCAGGGUUUUGGAUUUGGCCUCUCUCCGCUCUACAGCUGUUUGGAGAGCUCGCUCUGCAGGAAGGAGGGUGGUCUGCCUCUCCGUCCUUUGAAGUGCAAGUUGCCCCCAGACGCAUGCUCAGGCUCUGAUGUGCUCUCAGCUCUUCCACAUUCAAAUGUCAGCUGGGCUGAGGCAGUGCCACCAUAGCUUGGCUGUGCCAGGUUAAUGGUUCGACUCGAUGACCUCAUUGGUCUUUUCCAGAUGAAAUGAUUGCAUGAUUCUGCCAACCGUGGGUCUACCCCUUUGUGCAGAGCAUGACAGCUAAUGGUUGGACUAAAUGAUCUUAGAGAUCUUUUCCAAUCUAAAUGGUUUUAUGAUUCUACUAUAUUACGGUUAUGGUGGUGGAGUUAUCUAUGGAGGUGAACCAUAUGCCCACUUUAGCUUUGCUCUGAGGACUGAAAAUGCCCCAGCAGCUCUGCCCAUCACUGCUCCCAUCAGACAAAGCCCCCGGGCAGCUCCCUGAGUGCUGCAAGUACAGCCAGCAGCUCCCAUAGGGCCACCUCAGCUCUCCAUCCCAUCACCUCCUAGAGCCUUGGACCCCAGUGUCCAUGUGCCUGACCACUGCCCUCAGCUCUCCUCCUGCAGCCUCCACGCUAGGCAGUGUAUCUCAGCAGAUUUUCCAAAACAGAUUAUUAUUUACUCACCCAAGGCAAAGGAAAAUGUUCAGACAACAGGCAGCCUCCUGCAUUGUGCUUACCCAACCCCUGGUGUAUUCCUCUCUGGGUGCUGUAAUUUGGGAUGGGGAAGGCAGACAGCCUUGAUGUGGUUUUUUCCAUCUCCCGGAGCUCCUCCAGCACAGUCAUUCCACCCUCCCCAUGCAAAGUAGCUGCUCGCAUUCCUUUCCCAGACAGAGUUUAAUCAUCCUCCAAUAUUAGGAAGUUAAUGAAGAAACUGAGUUCGGUUACUUUCAGGUUGGAUAUAAGGAAAAAUUCCUUCUCUGAAAGACUGGUGAUGCAUUGGCACCCACUGCCCAGGGAGUGGUGGGGUCACCAUCCCUGGAGGUGUUCCAGAACCGUGGGGAUGUGGCACUGAGGGAUGUGGGCAGUGGGCAUGGUGGGGGUGGGCUGGGAUUGUGCUGGGGUCUGAGAGGUCUUUUCCAACCAUAACGGUUCUGUGGUUCUAUGAUUCUAUGGCACUGCUUUGGACACGUGCUUGCAAGCGCCGUUGUGUGUUAUGUGGCUGUCCACAGGUUUUAUACUGUUGAUGCUAAACUAUAUAUAAGCAUACCCCAAAGUAACAGUGCACACAUCCAGCUUUAGAUUGUUUUCAUGGAUUCUCCACCUUGAAUAGCAGCAGUUCAAUGUGUGGAAAAUAAGUCAUGCAGGGGAGAUGGGACAGGCUGAUAUCUAUGCUCCUGAGUGUGGAUCCACAAACUCAGCAGUGGCUCUGGGUUUUUGGUGCAUGAGCCUAAUCCCAGUCCUGGAGCAGGGUCACAUGUGGGUAACCAGAGCAUUAUGAGCUCUGAGAUCAGUGCUAGAGGAGGAUUCGGGUUAGGGUUGGAGUUGAGGUUAGGGUUUGGGUUGGGGUUAGAGAUAGGAUUAUGGUUAGGGAGAGGGAUAUGGUUAGGGUUGGGGUUAGGAAUAGGGUAAGGGAUAGAGUUAACCUUAGGGUUAGAGUUAGGGUUGGGAUUAGAGUUGGGAUUUGUGUUAGGGUUAGGGUUAAGCUUAGGUUUGGGGUUAGAGUUAGAGUUAGGGUUAAGAUUAGAGUUGGGAUUAGGUAAUCCAAGGUAUCCUUAUGUAAGGAUAGGGUAAUGGUUAGAGUUGGGAUUAGGGAUAGAGUUAGGGUUAGAAUUAGUACAGUGUUAGGGUUAUGGUUAGUGUUAGGGUUGGGGGUUUAGUCUAGUUUUUUGGGUUAGGGUUAGAGUUAGGGAUAGGACAAGGGUAAUUUCCUUGCUGUGUCUUUUGGAAAUCUGCUAUCCCGAGGUAGGGCUAUGCCCUCCUGGUUAUUUGUCCCCCAUCACCUGCACCAGAGCUGGGAACUGCCUGGAAGAUAGAGGGAGGGCUGGGCCAUAGUGCUGCUCACAGUGAUCCUCCCCUGACCCUCAGACUGUGUGUUUCCUGGCAUGGCACAGCAGGCUGUGAUUCACAGGGCAGAGCCCAUGUAAGGCAAAAAGAAGAGCUUGAGGUUUAUUGCCCUUUUUGAAUUCCACAUUCUUAAAAUGAUAAAAAUGCAGGCUCGUUAUUUUCUGGGUUGGCAACAGAGCUCUCCUGGAUACAUCUCAUUCUGAGUCUGCAUUCGUGCAGAUCAGCACUGCCAGGCACUGACUGUCUUGACAAAGAGCAACUUCCAUUCAAGGUUCCAUUCCAUAUGUCACCCCUGGGCAGGGAAGCUGUCAUGGCAAACGUAGCUGUGUCAUUGCAGCGUCAGGACAGUUACAGAGUGGAUAUGACUCAGUGUCACCCAGGGAGGACGAGGAGGGCUUACAUCCACACCCUGGGCUGUCCCCAUUGGACAUGGCAGCGAGCAGAUGCUCAUCUCUAGGGACAGCAAACUGUCAUCACUGUUCCACACAAAUUUUUACCCCCAUUAGCCAGGCAAACAGUGCUACGUGCAGCUUAUGACUACAUCAACCCUCUUUUUUCUCCCUCUUUCCGCAUUGUGAACACAGAGCAGUUGGUGUGACUUUCUUCCCUCUUCGUUUGUUUGCCAAAUGUUUUGUGCAAACAGAACGUGGUUCUUGUGUCGUCCGCAACAUUUUUCCAUGCUUAUUCACAAGGUGUGUGCCGGGCAAGGUGCGCAACUGGUUUGCUGAAAUCAAUGACACUAUUUCUGCUUGUUGGCCAGCAUCCCAGAAGCAGCUAUACCAGCAUCUUUAGCAUAGAAGUUUGGCUUGCUUUUUGCUUUUUUUGCAAAGGACAGUCAUGGUCCUACAAAUAAAAACCCCGGACAGCUUCUUCCGCAGAUGCACAUGCACACGGAUUGCAAGCAUCAGGAGGAUCUUCAAAGAGAACAGACUUCAGAAAUCAUCGAAAGAUUUAUGGUUCUGUACUGUUUGAGCAUCUGUUUGCAACCUGGGAGCAGGAACGGUGCCAUACUGUGCUCAAGACAUGGUCCUUUUCAAGUGCACAAUGGUAUUACUGCUAUGGGCCAUGCUUGCUUGAACAGGUUAACGUGAUCAGCAUGACAGAGGAGAAUCUGGGAGAUGACACCCCCUGGGAGAAACUGCAGGCGUGUUGCAACACGGGGUUUGGGUUCAGAACGAUCUUGGCAAAUUGGAGCAACGGUCUGAACAAACAGACCUCGAUUCAGCAGGGAUGAGCACCUGGUGCUGUAGGCACACAGUUGCACAAGUAAGGCACAGGAGGCAACGUUUGGGCAGCAAGGAGGAAAAGUGAGAAGUGGUGGGACGUGAGUGAGUUCAGAGUGCUGCAUUUCUGCAAACUCGGUGACACUUCUGGCUGUGUAAGCAGAAUUCCAACCUUGCCGUGCCAUCCUGGUGCAGAUGGGGUGCACAGCACUUCAGAGGCAGUUGGGAGCAUUCAGCCUGCUCACACACAGUGCAGGCAGGAAAGGCGAUGCAGCCUCAGCCCAGCUGCAGCAAAUUCCUGCCUGGAUAAAUCAGGCAGCAGGCUCAGAGUUUCCAUUGCUGCUAAUCCAUGCCCAGCCCCGGGUGCAGCUGCCUGCUGAGAUUAGCUCCAGGAUCAUGCCCUGACCUUUACAUCCCCUCUGCAGCCAUUCACUGCAGUGUUUGAAAAUUCCUAUGUUUGAGCACCUGAACGCACCUAGAGGCCCAAAGUACCCAUUGCAUGGCAUCCAUAGCCAGGGAUGAUUGCAGUGAUGACUUCAGAAACCACUAUCAAUUGCACAGCAACCUCAGCUGAAGAACUCCUGUGUCUCUUCACCAAGGGAUGCGACUCCAUUUUUUGGAUGAUUUAAAGAGAAAAUAAAGACAGGAGUGCAGAAAUUUAAACCACUGGGAAAGCGUGUGCUCCCACCUGGGAAUGCAGCCCAGCAGCCUCACAGUGGACCAUGUUGGACUUCAUGUCCUGUGCCUUAUUCUCAGGGGGAGCGGUGGUGUAGGGUUCCCUCCAGAAAAGGAUGAAGGUCCACCUUUACAUGAGUUUAUUUUCUACUUCUUCCUGCUUGCCUUGAGUGGAGUCUAUUUCUGCCCUCUGUGCUGAGAAUGGCUUCAACUGGAAGCUUUAUUUUUGUAAGAGAAAGCUUGGAGUACCCAAAAGCACCUGCCAGAAUCACUGGGAACCCUUCCCAUUCCUUAUCUCACAGCAUUCCCAGCUGGCUUUCCCACUUCCCCGCCCCACUGAACUCUUAGUGGAUGACAAGCUCUGGAUGCUCAGAGGUUGUGCGCUCAAUGUGCACCAACCCAGUGGCAUAAGGACAGCACAGUGACAGCAGCCUUCCUGGUGCAGGAGUUGUGCUCAUGGAGGCACAUUUCUGGCCUGCAGCCCAUCUGGUGGGCUCCAAGCCCACAUCUGUGGGAUUUCCCGUUAUCCUGCAGCAACCACCAAGCUUUGCUGCAGGGCAUCUUGUUAGUUUCCCACCUUCCUUCUUUGUUUGCAGUCUUGGAUAUACCACAGGCAUCCCAGUAACCAGGUCAAUAUGCUGUACUCAUAAUGCAGCAUAGGAUCUUCGGGAUCAGUGCACUGCAGAGUAGAGAGAUAUCAUAGCUAUGGGAUUGACCAGUACUAUCAAUAUAUGGUACCAGUGCCAUACAUCUCCAUGUAUAUGACACGAAAAUAAUGACACAGGUGCUGUGAUGAAAUCCAUGACAAUACUUUUGUUCCAAACCACAUCACGGUCCAUUUUCCAAUGUUCAAUCCCAAUACAUUUUCCUCCUUGCUCCAUUUCCUCCUUGCUUAGCAGGUAUCACAGGGUUGGAUGACACAGGGGAUGCACCAUGGUGGGUCCCCCAUCCCUGGACUUAAGGUCAGGCUGGACUGGGCUAUGAGCAGCCUGAUUGAGCUGUAGGUGUCCCUGUUCAUUGCAGGGGAGUUGGGCUAGAUGGUCUUAAAAGUCUCUUCCAACUCAAACUGUAGUAUUCCACUCCAUUCCAUUCCAUUCCAUUCUAUGGAGAUCAACAUGGCCACUGGAGGCAUCACCCUGCCGUGCUCACCUCCCAACCCACGGCUACUUCCCAGCACCUGCACCUUCACACGGAGCAGCACCAGCAACACAGAAAGGGGCCACUCAUGGCUGCAAUGCGUGUUCCCCUUUGCAGGAUAUAUUUUCCAAGCAAAAUGCAAAUGCCUUUCACAUAUAUAACGUCUGCAGGCAGGAGCGCAGCAGAGCUGGAUUUAGUCACACAGCUCUCCCCAUGUGUCACCACCAAAAGGUCACUGCGUCUCUCCUUACCCCACUGGCGCAGUGCCUGACAGCGCGGGCGGCAUUAUAUAACGCGGCCUUCUCAGAGCUCUGAGCUCUGCAGACGUGCCUCCCGUCAUUACUUCCUGCAAGCAAACAGCCCCGGGGGCUCUGCAGAACCCAAGAGCCUCAGAAACCCUCAGUGCUGCUGCUUGGUUGCUCCCUGCGUGCACCACACUGCUGCAAAGACAACUCUCUGCUGCUCAUAGUGUUCCUCCUUUGACCUCUGUUGGUAUCAAAGCUUGGAGCUGGUCAGCUGUAAAAAGAGCAGUGCUGUCUGUCUGGGAUGCUGCAAAGCUUGCAGAGAGAGUGGGGCAAUGUGGGAGUUGGUGUGAUGGGUCUGGAUGCAAUGGCCAUUGCAGCAGCCAUAUGCACUGUGUUGUCACCUCUUGGUCUUGCCAAGCUCUGCAGCAUGACCUUGUCCUUGUCCAUCUCAUAGCAGAAUCUUUCCCCUCUAAGCUCCCAAAAUAGAACCAUUAAGGGUGGAAAAGACCUCAAAGAUCAAGUCCAGCUGUCAACUCACCCCCACCAUGCCCACUGCCCACAUCCCUCAGUGCCACAUCCCCACAGUUCUGGAACACCCCCAGGGACGGUGACCCCACCGCUCCCUGGGCAGUGUGUGCCAAUGCAUCGCCUCUCCAUUGGAGUAUAAAUUGUUCCUAAUAUCCAACCUGACCCUCCCUCAGUGCAGCUUUAAGGCCAUUACCUUUUCACUCUGCAUCCAGUGGGACCUCAGCCAUGGAUGCUGAUGACAGGACAGAGACGGCCCCAUGACGUGGCUGCAUUGGGGCUACAUAACUGCUCCCAUUCCCAAGACCCGGACCAACCCAUGGGGUGGAGAACGCCCGCUCAGUGCAAACCCUCGGAGUGCUUUGUUCCAAGCAAGGAAAACAAACAUUUAACUUCUUAAUUAACAUCCUUCAACUCUCAAACAAGCCAAGCAAUUAUUCCUUCUAUAUGUCACUCACUCUAAUGACUGGUUAAUAAUAAAAGCCAUGCUGGUCUGCAGUCUUCAAAGCCAGGAAGUAGAUUUUAGAGUUAAUCUCCUUUCACAACAAGCUUCAAAACAUGUCUGUGUUUAUUCUGGGACAAAACCAUUGGGAACGAAUAGGCCUGAACAGGGCAAGCCAUUUUUUUUUUUCUGUACGUAAUUUUUUUCUAUAUCCUUAUUGAGAAAUAUGUAUAAGAGAGGAAAGUGCUUUGAAGGCAAGGCUGCAAGGGAACAGCAGGGCUUUGAGCAAUGAGUUUUGAGCAAUGAGCUCUGAAAGCAAGAGGAUUCCAGCAGCUGGUGCACCAUCAGCCUUGCACCAUGCACUUGUCUCAUUUGAACCAAGGUUCAAGCCCAUCAGCCUUCCCUGCAGGGUGACCCUUAUGUCCUCAGCCUUCCCUGAGCAGUGCUUUGGGCAGUUGCUGCGCAGGGGUAGCUGAGCACGAGCAGUGCUAAACUUCUGCUAGGCUUCUAUCUGCCCACCUUGGCCCCAGGGCUAUGAGUCCUUCUCCAAGCCAUGGCCAUAAGCCUGUUUCCUGGUAAGAGCUGGAGCGUCUCCUGGUACCAGACCAUCCUUUUGCUGGGGCGAGGUGCAGGGUGCAGGACAUGUCCUGGGCCUGUCCUGGUAGGAUGUGGGCAGCUCAGCAUCCGGAGCCAGCAGCGAGCAUCAAAGUGCUCUGAGUCACUCCAGGGAGAGGCUUCUCACCCAUAAUUGUGUUUGUCUUCAAGGACUGCUGUGUCCUUUUCCCAGCUCUCAGCAUCUCUGUGCCUUAAGCACUGUUUCCCAGAAACUUAGCCCAGAGCACCAGAGACAUCAAAGUGAGGGAGCACUGUAAUCCGUGAUGUUUCUGUGAGUCCAGAGUGGGGAAAACAAGAAAAAUUCCUUCUCCCAAAAGAUGUGGCAAUGUGAGCAACGGGAGAGGAGGAACAGUUUGGAGGGAUGUGGAACAAUCAUUAAACCUCGGUCUUUCCAAGCGAGGAGUUGGGUGCUCAAAGAUGGCUGAUUACUUGGAAAAGAAAAGGAAGUGAGUGGAAAUCAAAAAGAAAUGGUUACACUCAGCAGAAGAUCAGGUCUGGACAUGCUGAAAGCAAGGAGAGGAGGUCAGAGAAGCCCAAACCCAUUGAUGGGAGAUGGUUUCUCACCUCCUGGGCAAUGACCCAGGCUCCAGCCCCAUUGUAGGCUCCCUAUGGAGGUGGCCUUCCCUCUCUGGCUCUGGGAUUUUUUCUUUUUACAGGGAUUAAUUGAACAUAUAUUGGUGGGUUUUGUUGUAAUGGGAGUUGCCAUGACAACUGCUACAGCUCUCCAGAAAAAAAUAAAUAUAUAGGAAGGUCUCAACUGUCACUGGGGCCAUCUGUCCUUUCCAUGGCGGUCAUUAUAAAGCCAUGUACAAACCUCCCUGAGCCAAAUCUUCAUUUAAGCCCAUGGAGAUAAAAGCGCUUGGUACGAUUUAUCAAAAAGCUCCUCUCUUGAAUCACUGUUUCUUUUCUCUGCACUGACAUGAUAAUUUCCUCUCUAUCGCUGCAAAUUAAAUUCUAAUGAGGAAGCUUCGCAUUUCAAUGUGAUGGAAAGCUUCUCCUCCCCAAGAUGUGCAGAAGCAUCAGGCUCACUGCGGAGGGAGAAGGGUGCAGAAGGAUGCAGCAGGAUGGGAACAGGGGCUGUCCAGUUGUGCUUUCUCUGUGACACUCCUACACAGAGGGCACCCCUCUGUCCCAGCAGCCUGAAUGGCCCUUUUGGCCCCAACUUUCCCAUCCUGAAGCCCCACAGGAGAAAAACAAUGAGGAAAAUGUGAAGGGACCCCCACUUGAAGGUUGGCAGAGCGUUGGCUUUAGUUUGGAUGCUCUCUGGGGGCAGGAGGGUCUUGCUUGAGGCAGAGGGUGGCUUCAGGGUUGACUCAAAACCACUUCUUCCAUUGGUCACUGCAAGCUUAUGGGGCCACAGAUUCCCCAUCUGAAUGGUUAGGGUGAGGGUUGUGGUUAGGGUAGACUUGGAGUUUUUGUUGGGGUUGGGGCUAGCACUGAAUUUAGGUUUGGAGUUAAGGUUAGGUUUAGGUUUACUUUCAGAGUUGGGAUUGUGUUUGGGGCUGGUGUUGGGAUUAGGGUUAGGGUUUGGGUUAGGGUGGAAUGGGGUGAGGGCUGGGUUUGGAGUUGGGGUUGGGCUGGAGUUUAACACUGGGGUUAGAGUUAGGGUUAAGAUUAGGGUUAGGGUUAGUCUUAGGGUUGGGGUUGAGGUUAGGGUUAGGGUUUGGGUUAGGGUUAGGAUUUAGCAUCAGGGUUAGGGUUAGGGUUAAGAUUAAGGUUAGGGUUAGGGUUAGGGUUGGUCUUAGGUUUGGGGUUAGCCUUAGGGUUGAAGUUUGGGUUUGGAUUUGUGUUGCACUUCAGCACUGGUUUUGGGGUUAAUCUUAGCACUGGGGCUAGGGUUAGUGUCAGGGUUAGGUUUGGGUUGGGAUUAAGGUUGAGUUUGGGGUUAAGGUUAGGGUUAGGAUGAGUUGGGUUAGAGUUUGGAGUGAGAGUUAGGGUUUGAAUUGGUGUUAUGGUUAGGGUUGGAGUUGGUGUUAGGGAUAGUACUGGGGUUAGGGUUAAGGUUAGGACCGGGGUUGGAAUUAGGGUUAGGAUUAAGUUUAGGGUUAGAGUUAGGGUUAGGUUUGGGAGUUCCAUCAGUGAGCACAGGGGGGCUCAGAGGGUUAAACCUCCACAUCCUUUUGGAGCCUGUUCCCAAGGGCCACUGAAUUCCAGAAGUCUGCCUCAAUUUGGCCUUCAGCAUUAAAUCAGGAGCAGAAUACUUCAACCCCAACCGCGCUGGUAUUAGCUUGACCUCUGUAAUGUGAAUCUGCUGUGCCUGCGUGACGCCGUGCAUCAGAAUAAUCUGACAUCUGCGACGAUCCAGGGCCAAUGCCACCCUCAGUGGAAACAGCAGGGCUUUAUUUGACUCAGUGGCCUUUCCUACAGGGUUGCUUUUGGUCAGGGGAAUGCAUGCUGCUGCCUCCAUGGGGUGAUUUACUGUGUGCCUGCCUGUAGUUGCAGCAGUGCUUUUUUGGAUAGUGAGCUGUGCACUGUGGUUUGGAAGCUGUUUGUGUUCCAGCUUCACUUUGGAACUCCAGCCAAAAGAUACAGGGCAGAAAGGAAAAGAUAAGAAGUCCUGGAAGAAGGUGGUUGAUCAGAGCCAUUGUUAUUCUAGGACUGCUAAUUCUGAGAAAUCUCAACUGUAAACAAAGUUUGUGUCAAUCACUAGGGAAAAAAAAAAAGAGAGAGAAAUAAAAUGUAUGUAAUUGAACUCCAUUCCUUGGAGAAGUGCAGCUGCUGGGUUGCCCCAGAAAUCUUCCCCUGGAAGGGAAUCAUGACUUGUUCUGGACAACAGAGCUGGAUCUGGGAGUCCCCAGCCCAGUGCUGGGGUUGAUGUGCCCUGGGCCAAACAAGGAGCUGCUCAGGGUGAGCCCAUGCCCUUCUGCAUGCACACACUGUGUUUGUCUCUGUGUACAAUGGGAACCAUCUGAUUUCCGUGAGACUAUUCAGCCCUUUGUACAAGCUGUAGGAUUAACAAAACACCAUGGCUGAUGAGGUCACUGGAGAGAGAGUCAAGCUGUGACUGUAUGGACUGCACGUGGCAGGGGCAUGGGGCAGCUCUGGGGUAACCCUAAGAGGAACAGACAGCCAAACGCCACUAAAGUUAGGUGACAUGAUGACAGUGAGGCAGGCAGGACAGGUCAAUCUAAGAAGUAAUGAAGUUCAGCAUAAUGGCCCUCAUGCAUCAAUUUGCAGAAAUGUCCAGCAAACCAACCCAUGUGCUCUAAGAAUAGGAAUGGAGAAUGGAGUCAGAGAAACAGCAGUGCAAAGACAUCAAACCAAUUCCCAGGAGGGCAUUCACCUGGCUGGGGUGGAGCUGACACAUUUAUCUGGGUCCCCACUUCUGAGUUUGGAGCUGAGAGGAGAUGCAUUGCUGCAUGCUCAGCUUCUGACUUGGAAAAAGAAAAUGUGCUUUGGCACUCUCCUUGGAAAGGCUUUGGACACCCACUUCAGGAGCCGACCUCUGCAGAGACAUGUUCCCUGUGUUCCUGGAGGCAAGCUGUGUGUACCCAUGUGAGUGACCCUUUUUCCAUAUCCCAUAUUGCAACUGAACUUCAUCCAAUGAGAUGAGAAUCUUCUGAAAUGGAGAAUGAUAUCAUUUUUUUGCUCACCUUCCCCAAACAAAGAGUUGUGCUGUUGACUGCUUGAGGUCUGCUCCUGGUCUGUAUUUGCUAGAAGUUCAGAUGGAGUUUGGCAAAGCUGCUAGGUAAGUCUCUCAAGUAAAAUAAGCAAAUGGCUUUUUAAGAUUACUUUGCCCAGAUGCUACUUUACCUCCUUUUUGCCUGGGACACCAAAACUUUAUAGGUUAGUAUAGAGACAAACAGAUCUACAGUCUCACUGCUGACCUAAGGAUGGAAUUAGGACUGGCAGAGUCCAUAUUAAUGUGAAUUACGGUUUCAUACUCAUAGGUUGUAUAUGGAAUAUCCAUUAAGAAUGGAAUGCCCAUUGCUUUCUUUAGGCUGGGCUUGCAGGACAUCAUCCCAUCCUGUUCCUUUUCCUCAUGUCCCUGUAGUCCUAUUUCUUUGCCAUUUUGAGAUCUUUCUCACAUACAACCUUCAUUGCAUGGGUCAGCCUCUCUGGUUUCCACCUCACUCACCACUUUGCCUUCCAAAAUCUCUGAAAUACUGAUUCCUGGCUGCACCUCUUAAUUUAUCUGCUGACAUGGUUGUAGCCAUUUAGCUCUGAAAACCAUCCAGAGUGUUGGUUAUGGGAAGGGCUGGCUCAGGAAUGAGCCAGACACAAGGCGGUCACGUCACCUGGGAGAGAGUUACCUCUAUGAGAACUUGGCUCCCUCUUAGGAAAACGAGAGUUCAGAAAACUGAUUCCUGUGUUAUUUUUCUAAAGGUGAUAGGCCUUGGUUUUCAAAGAAAUUGCUGUGGAGACAUGGAUGCUUGGCCAAUAACUGUACUCAGAGCCAGGAAAUCUCUACCUGAAGUGCUCCAGACAGGAAUAUCUGCACUGAACGAAGGAUUGGGUCCCUGGGGAGACUGAACUCUAGUAUUUUCAGGCACUUAAAAGACUAUAUAAUCUGAAAUAUGAGAUUUGCAUCUUGAAACUCUCAGACAGGUAGCUGACUGGGGUGCCAUUGGUGUGCUGGGUGAAGGUGACUCCGAGCCCUUAGCCAUGAAAGCUAAAUCUAUCUGCAUUUGGUUUCAUUCAUGCUUCCAGGGUAGGAGAGAGAACUUAACAACUAGCAUGGCAGCAUCUUAAUUCUAUCCAUGAUUAGUCUGCAAAAGACAUUUACCAAUGACAUUUACCAAAGACAUUUACCAACUCAGCUGUUCAGAUUAGCUGGAGAUGAUUAAUGAUACCAUAUGGAAAUUUCAGGGGUGUCAUCACCAUUGUUUGGUCUGUAAACAAUCUGUGAUGGACGUAAACCAAGUUCUGAACAAUAGUUCAGCAUCUUCAUGGCCAAAAGGCUACCCUGUGAGAAGAAACCAGAGCUUCCAAAAACCACACUGUUGGUUUGAUGUGGAUGGUGAUUUAGCUUCACCAAUGCUUGCGGUGAAGACUCCAUCAUGAGCACUCAACAGGAGUGAACAAAGACUUUAUUUUUCAUUAAUCUAGACCACAACUUAUGCAUUUGUUGAAAACAAAAAAGUGUUUUCUGGCAGCAUUUUGACAUUGAAUGGCUGGAAGUGGAAACCAAGGAUCACCACCUCCGUUCCCAGUACCAAGCUUUUGCCAUUACAGCUCCUUUGAACUGCCAAGGAAAAGGUGAAUAAACACCCAACUUUCAUGGCCUUUAAUGUUCAUUUUAUGCAAAGUCUUGGCAGAAAUUCUUUGCCAACAAGCCAAAAACUCAACAUAGUUUCCUUUAUGAGGGCUGCUUAUUCAAGCUAAGAUCUCCAGCUUACUGAUCUUAAAUGGCCACCAGGAUUUUCUGGUAAAUAUUUAUUUGCCCAAACAUUUGUACUGAUAGGUCCUAUUAGACAGAAAUAAAACAACAACAACAAUAAAAUAAAAUAAAAUAAAAUAAAAUAAAAUAAAAUAACAACACGAUACACCUUCACUAUGAAUGAAAUAGAAAAGGUUUCCUACAGAGUCAGAUGAAUUUCAAGAACUUGUGAAAAAAUCCUGAGCUGUGUAUAUCUGUAUAAUUUUAUAUCAGUUAAGGACACAUAAGGAAUUAGGGGAUUUCAAAAUUUCUUGUUCAUACUCCAUUGAUGAAAAUGCACUUUUUUGGAACAUUUACAUUUCCAGAUAAGGAAAAUGCUAAUAACAGAAAUCUGUGAAUUAGCUGCCGUUCUCCUAAAGAAGCCUUUUUGUCCAUUUCUUUUUCAAUCUCUUUGUUUCAACAGGGAAGCAUAGUAAUUAGCACUGAUGGUCUGACUGGUAAAUUAUCAACUACUAACUUCCAUUCUACAAUGUGCUUGAAAGACAGCUUUGAUUGUGGAGACCAAGACCACAGCUCAGGCUGUCUGGGGUGCAAUGGUUUGAACAAAGCCACUCUGAUCAUGAAGGAAUAUCCAUUUUUCUGUGAUAUUUGCCAAUUUUCUGGGAAGGAAACAGUGUGAAGACAUUAAGCUUUGUUGUUGUGUAACCAUUAAUCUGAUAUGGAAGGAUGUCCUGAGAUGUACAGUGAGUCAUAGCUGUCAUAAAUUUGUUUAGAUCACACCAAAUUGAUCUAAUUUCCUCUUCUAUAGAGUAAGAGAGAGCAAAGAGAUGAGGAAGAAUGGUCAAAAAUCAUUUGUCUUGGUCUUAGGAAGGCUUCUCUAUUGACUCAAAUGGUACAUUCUCAAGUCAGCUGUGGUAUAAGGCCUAACGAUAACUACUGAAAGGGGUAAAAUUGGUUGGAAAACUGUUUUUGUUCAGAGAGAGUCACAGUUUGCUGCCAGGAAGAACAUCUGAGUGGUUCUACAAAGAGCAUGGGAUAAUUGUGUGCAAGCUGAACACAUGGCAUUGCAAUACUGCUGCACUUCAGCAGAGAUAUGGGCUGAUGGAAGGGAGUGCAGGAGAGAACACAAAGGGGAUAAGAUGUCUAAAAAUGAGAAGAUUGAAGGAUGACACAGUAACAAUUUCCAACGCACGAUGGACUACCAGAGAGAGAAAGGGUGGAAAACAUGUCCUGUGUCCUAAGGCUGAAAGUUAAAUGUUAUGUAAAGUCCUCAGCUAGACAUCCUCUUUUCACCCCAAAGGCCCCCACGUCUCCAGCAUCACGUGUCAAACUUAGGGCCUUUUGUUCAAAAAACCUCAAAAUUCAAUUUACACAAGGAAGCCAUCAAGGCAGCCAAAAGAUACGAUCAGUACCUGGAUAUAUCAUCUUCACUGAUGUAACAGGUCCACAGGAGUGCUCCACAGCUUUAGGAAAUGCUGUAUAUAAAAAAAUUAAGGUCCAAUUGGAGUCUCAGUGAUAUCAGUGUAAAUCAGGGCCAAGGAGUUAUAGAGGCAUGAAAUGAGAUCAGAAGAAGCCCUGGAGCUCUAUUCCAUGCUCAAGACCUAUCACUGGUUCCCUGUUAGACUCCAAGAGAGAUCUCACUUGCUGACUGUGCUCCCAUUGGCAUGAUGCCACUGUUGGACUUUCUGCUGGAAUCAGCCAUCCAGUAACUCAUUACCACCAAAUCAUUAAAUUUUUUCUCCCAAAUCCAAUUAGUCUCGUAAGCACAGAACAAUCCAUUCUGCUUUCUCCUAUUGGAUAUUUAAAUGGGUGGCUUUGUAUUCAUUUACUGCUGUCUGAAGCAUUAGCUUUGGGGUGACUGGCAGGUUAUGUAAGCAAAUGCAGGCAGACAGUAGGCUGUCACUGACACAGUUUGGAUAAUAGAAUCAUUAACGUUGGAAAAGACCUCUAAGAUCACCGAGUCAACUCCACGCCCAUUGACCAUGUCCCUCAGUGCCACAUCUCCAUGUUUCAUGAACACCUUCAGUGGUGGCGACUCUACCACCUCCCUGGGCAGCCUGUGCCAGUGCAUCACUGCUCCUUCUGAGAAGAAACCUUUCCUAAUAUCCAAUCUGAACUCCUCGUCCCCACUCUGUGUUGCUGCUGCUGUGCUCUCGGGAAGAGCUCUGACCAUUGGAGAGGCUUUGGGCUGCUCGUAGAAGCCACAAGGACAGCACAUAAUGAGCUUUCAGCUUAUUGUUGCUAAGUGGGGUGGCACAAUUAAAGCCCAUUAGCUGACAUGAUAUCACCAGCUGGGAAGAAACACUUGGUGCUGUGCAGGAAGGCAGCAGGACGGCCCUGCUGUAUCUGCAGCACCUGUGGAAAUGCUGAGAGUUCUGUUCAUGCAAAGAAGAUACCGACAGCCUCUUUCCAAACCCAUGGCUUUGCACAACCUUUGGUUUGCAGCAAUGCUCUGUCUGGGAUGGUUUUCUUCUCCACUAUGGAAAGGUGAUACAAGUUUUGCAAUCCAGCAAAGCUCGGGGCUGAAGGCAACAAGCCAAGAACUGUGUAAAUCAAAGGGAGUUCCCCUUUGUAUUCAAGGAGGCCAAGAUCUCACCCCAAAAAGUCUUGCAGAUACAAAGGUUCGUGGGUUUUCCUUUUGAAUCCCAGGAGAUUUGUAGGUUAUCUCAGGCUGAAAACAGGUUCUGCCCUCUGCAACCCAUCCUCUGUGUUCAGGAUAGUGCUGUGUGGAUGGGGUGGGAAGAAGGCUCUGCUCUGCCCCCUGUGCUCUCCAAGGCAGAAACACAGCGCGUGGUCUGCAGCAAGAGGAUGGCUGCUCUCCUGGGUCCUCCUCUGGUAAGAGCAGAAUUGAUGCAUUCAGUGCAGGGCUGGAGAUGUGAGCUUGCCAACUUUUAGUUAAGCAUGUUGCCCUGUUUAGGCAAUUAAUUAUAUUCUCUGUUGCUACAGCGGGGCUCAGAAAUGUGCGUGGUUCCUGGUUCAGGCAGACCCAUGCAUGGCAAACGUGGGAACGUAGCAUGCAUUGAACUAAAAAUCUGUCCUGUUGCAAAGGGAUCACUGUAAUCCAAGAUGUCACUUGUGUUUUUGGGAAGGCAUUUGAUGACUCUGGCACAAGUGAGUCUCUGUUGGGCACUGAAUACCAUUCAUCUUCAUAAAAAAAAAAAAAAUAGUUCUUUAAAACUGAAUUCUUACCAUAUGAAUGUAGCACAGAAUUAGAAAACCACACUUCUUGGAAAGUCCUGCUUUUAUCUGGGCUACAAGGAGUUAAUGGCUAAAAGAUGUUCUGCCCGCACCACAGACGUGUCUGUGUUGGACAUGUUUUAUACGCUCAUCGAGGAGCAGCAUUAGAGAUCCUUUAUAGGGAGUUUUUGCCCUGUUGGAUUCUUUCAGAAACACUAACAAACAAUUAUCCCUGUUUAUUAACACUUUGUAAAUUUAUUAGCACGUUGUAAAAUGUCUAUAAAUGGAACUUUAGUGGGCAGCACAGCCCAGAGCACCACCUAACUAAGGAGGCAUUGAAGCCCAGGAACUGGUGGGGCAGCUCUGGGGUCUCUCCCAUGUGCAGCACAUAGCUUGGUGAAAGCUGCUUUCAUCCUGAAUGCAAAAACAUUUGGGUUUUGCUGAAGAGGGUUUGGAAAUGGAGGUUUUCCUCUUCCACGCAGAAAGGAGAAGAUAACAAAAAGCAAAAGCUGUGUUUGCUCAACGCUGUUGGGUUUGAAUGCAUGAAUUAUGUCAAUCAUCUCCAUAUGCCAGCAGUUGGACUCAAUGAUCCUUAAGAGCCCCUUCCAACUCAAGAUGUUCUAUGAUUCUAUGCUGAGUUCUGCUCCAAUUCAAACUUCUUUUAUUUAUGUUUGUCUUUCUUGGCUGAGAUCUGCCCAUCUCCUGAUAACUCAGCCUCACCGGUUCCAUGCAGUCAGGGUGGGGGACCGAUCAGAUCAGGCUGAGCACAGCAAAGCGCCCAGUGAGAACCCAAGGAUACGGCACUGUCUCAUUUCAGUGUGAAGCAGAGAAUUCUAUUUAUAGAGAAAACAGCUCAAGAUUCCCAAACGGUGUUCUGCAAAUUUCCAUUCUCCUGGUGUCUCUUUUUCUGUAAGCAUUUCACAUGCACACAGCACUAUAAUUUAGGAACCCAGUGACCCCACGCAUUUUAUUUUUCUUUGCCACCCGUUUGCCCUCUUGUUCCAAGAGCAGGAAUUUCCUUGCCAGAGCCUGCAGAGCAGAGCCAGCAAUGAGCACUCAUGAUUCUUUGCACAGAAAAUGUCCUUUCAGACCCCCUGAUCUCAGCCUUUUGCAGCACCCUAUACAGAGUGCAGCACCACAUUAACAAUUAAUAACAGGGCAGCAAUAAGGAAGCAACUUGACAAUAAAUUUGCUUUAAUUGGACAGGAAUGUUGCCAGGUAACCUUCCCAUUUGCUAUCAGGGCUCUUUAUUACUGGCAAGGCCUCCCCUUCCCUCAGGCCCUUAUUCCAUCCAGCACUGUGGGAUGCUCAUCUUGGACCUUACCCCACUGAGGUGUCAUCUACACAUCAUCUCAAGGCUGAAUUAACACCAUGUGCACCCAGCAAAGCUCUGGAACAGAGAGUUGAAGCAUGGAGAGGGACUUCAUUCACAUUCUAUUGUAAAACAAACAAACAAACAAACUAAAAAAUAUCUAGCAUAUACAGUCUUACUGCCUGCUGUCUCGCAAGAAAAAAUAAUCCAGAGGAGGUUCAGACUGGAUAUUAGGUACAUUUUAUUCUUCCAAAGAGUGGUGGUGCAUUGGUACACACUGCCCAGGGAAUGGUGGGGUCACUGUCCAUGGAGAUGUUCUAGAACCAUGGGGAUGUGGCACUGAGGGAUGAGGGCGGUGGGCAUGGUGGGGUGGGCUGGGGUUGGAUGGGUGAUCUCAGAGGUCUUUUCCAACCUUAAUGAUUCAGUGAUUACUCCGGGAAGGACUGGAGCCCAAGUGUCUCAGCAAAAUCAAUCCAAAGACUUUAGGCACAGGAAAAAAAUCUCAUUUCAUUGGUGGAUAUUGAAACUAAAACAUCCAUUACCAAAAAUCUACAUCCCAGCUCCCUGAGUUAUGGAAAAAUCCCACCCAUGGAGGUGACCCCAACCACCCAGGGCAAUGGGAUGUCACAGGGGAGUAAAUAGGGUGAUAGUUAACUCCUCAGACCCUGCCCCUUUGGAUGUGGCCCUUUCCUCACUCAGACAUUUCUGUCCAUGAUGUAGGAGCAAUUGAGAGUAAUUAGUGUGAGAUGAUGGUUGUGGUCACCAAGACCAUCAAUAGCUCUUGUUUUGGAUGGGAAUACAGUCUGAGCAGCUUCUAGAAAAUGACUUCAUCCAUCUCCUGUCUGAUUCAUUUUCCCAUAUUUCAAAGUUCAGGUUAUUGCCAUCAAAGGAAUGGAGUAAUUAUGCCCUGGGAAUCCAGGAAAGGAGGAAUCCAGCACUGAGUGCCUCUGUAAGGCAAGGCAAAGAGCCAGAGCAAGGUGUUGAACGGCAAGCAGGUCAUUGGGAUAUGCCUCCAUCACUUCCCUUCUAUGGUCUGUUGUCAGAGGAUUCAUUUCUUCUUCAAUAGAAGAGAGAGGAAGAAAUGUCACUCCAGCAAUUCAAUUCUCUGCUGUGGGUGAAAGGAAGAGAAGGAAAAGAAAAGACAUGUCUUGGAAAUCUCCUAUUUUACUGGUACCUGUAACCACCCAUUGCAGAAUUCUUGGGUUUUUCUUUCUAGCUAGGCAUUUUCCUUGGUUUAUAAAUACGUCAUAUAAAAGUGCAAGAUCAUAAAGUUUACAAGUUAUGCAAGGGCUGACUUACUGUAUAAUUACCUUUCUUCGCUCUCGGGCAUUUCUGUCUUCAACUGUUACUCUGCAAGAUCCAGCGGGCAGCAGAACCAACCAGGAAAAUAAAAAUAAAAGCUAGAAAAAGGAGGUAGCCUGGUAUUCGGUGGCUCAGAUCCGACAUAAACACUGCCGGGAUAAGCAGACGUGCUGGAACGCUGCGGGAUUUGGGGUCAGGGUGAAAAUCCCCUGGUUUUCACAUUCUUACACCCCAAACCACAAAAGUGCAAGUUUCUCAUCUUCAGCUUGAAACCUCAGAGCUCUGGUAGCCAAAAAUGGGACAAUUGACAAAUAGGAACUCCAACCAAGAAGCGCUGCAGAGAGAUUGGCCAGGAAAGGAAAAGUGAAACAUUUCCAAAUACAGAAAGCUUUGCUGCUGAAGACAAGGAUAAUAUUUGCUAUGCUAUCCUAACCAAAUAUGCCACUCAGCACUCUCUCCUUUAUCACAGUUAUUUUAGUGGUGUUGAGUGGGGUCAAGACUAAGUCAAAAAUCUGCAAUUUUUCCUUCCAGACAAAGCUGUUUUCCCAAUGAAAAUAGAGACUUCACUAAAUGUGUC